UUUGAUCUAUGAUGAGCACAGACUAUUUUGUGAACUGCUGGAUGACACUUGCGGAUAUGGGACUGAGAUCAGCC
ensembl:snoRNA